AGAGUUUGAUCCUGGCUCAGAGCUAACGCUUGGCGGCGCGCCUAAUACAUUGCAAGUCGAACGAUGUAGUAAUACAUAGUGGCGCACGGGAGAGUAACACGUGGAUAAUCUCCCCUCGAGAGAAGAAUAACCAGUCGAAAGAUUGGCUAAUACUUCGUAAGACCACAGAAACGAAUGUUUCAGGGGUAAAAGUCGUAAGACGCUUGAGGAUGAGUCUGCGUCCCAUUAGCUAGUUGGUGAGGUAAUAGCUUACCAAGGCGACGAUGGGUAGCUGGUCUGAGAGGAUGAUCAGCCUCACUGGAACUGACAUACGGUCCAGACUCCUACGGGAGGCAGCAGUAGGGAAUAUUGCACAAUGGAGGAAACUCUGAUGCAGCGACGCCGCGUGAGUGAUGAAGGACUUCGGUUUGUAAAGCUCUGUUCUUAGGGAAUAAAAAAAUGAAUGUACCUGAGGAGAAAGCACCGGCUAACUUCGUGCCAGCAGCCGCGGUAAUACGAAGGGUGCAAGCGUUGCUCGGAAUCAUUGGGCGUAAAGCGAGCGCAGGUGGUCUUGUAAGUCAGGAGUGAAAUCCCAGGGCUCAACCCUGGAAGUGCUUUUGAUACUGCGAGACUUGAAUGUGGGAGAGGGUACUAGAAUACAUAGUGUAGUGGUGAAAUACGUAGAUAUUAUGUGGAACACCGGUGGCGAAGGCGGGUGCCUGGCCCAACAUUGACACUUAGGCUCGAAAGCGUGGGGAUCAAACAGGAUUAGAUACCCUGGUAGUCC
rnacentral:rRNA from 1 species